AUGGAAGGGGAAAUUUUCUCACAAGUUUCUAUUAAAUGUUUGCAGAAAUUGAUAAUCUUAGCAAUCUUAAAAAAAAUGGUUUUUUUUACAUUAGUCAGUUCUACUUCAAUGCCAAUUUUCUCAAAAUCGUAUAUUUCUAGAUCGUUUGGAGAAGUCAUUUUAAAAUAUUCCUAUACCUGCACUUGGGGAAUGUGGCCAAAUGCGUUAUCAACAAAACCAACACCACAGCUUCAUCAAUAUCAUCUUUUUCUCCUUUAUUUUCCAUUUUCAACUGCAUUUUGUAGUCAGUUGAUGAAAUUGCAUCUCAUAGCAGAGCCAAGUUCUGGAAAGACUUUCUCAGAUCCUAACCCUGAUAGAGCAAAGCACUCAGGAAAACGCUUUGUUUAA
rnacentral:lncRNA from 1 species